AAUGCUAGGAUGUGAUGGGGAAGCCCUUCGGGGCGAAGUAGCUGAUUUCACACUGUCAAGAAAAGCUUCUAUCGAGUUUAAAGGCGCCCGUACCGUAAACCGACACAGGUGGGUGAGGAGAGUAUCCUAAGGCCAGCGAGAGAACUAUUGUUAAGGAACUCGGCAAAAUGACCCCGUAACUUAGGGAGAAGGGGUGCCUGUCUAUGACAGGCCGCAGAGAAUAGGCCCAAGCGACUGUUUACCAAAAACACAGGUUUCUGCUAAGUCGCAAGACGAUGUAUAGGAGCUGACGCCUGCCCGGUGCUGGAAGGUUAAGGGGAUCUGUUAGAGCAAUCGAAGCAGUGAACUUAAGCCCCAGUAAACGGCGGCCGUAACGAUAACGGUCCUAAGGUAGCGAAAUCCCUUGUCGGGUAAGUUCCGACCCGCACGAAAGGCGUAACGAUUUGGGCACUGUCUCAACAAUAGACUCGGUGAAAUUGUAAUCCCGGUGAAGAUGCCGGGUACCUGCGACAGGACGGAAAGACCCCAUGGAGCUUUACUGUAGCUUGACGUUGGGUCUUGGUACUACAUGUACAGGAUAGGUGGGAGACUAUGAAGCAUGGACGCCAGUCUGUGUGGAGUCAUCCUUGGGAUACCACCCCUGUAGUACUGGGAUCCUAACCAUAGGCCUUGAGUCAGGUCUUGGAACACCGUCAGGUGGGCAGUUUGACUGGGGCGGUCGCCUCCUAAAAAGUAACGGAGGCGCUCAAAGGUUUCCUCAGCACGGUCGGAAAUCGUGCGAAGAGAGUAAAGGCAAAAGGAAGCUUGAUUGCAAGACAUACAGGUCGAGCAAGCACGAAAGUCGGACUUAGUGAUCCGGUGGUACCGCAUGGAAGGGCCAUCGCUCAACGGAUAAAAGCUACCCUGGGGAUAACAGGCUUAUCUCCCCCAAGAGUCCACAUCGACGGGGAGGUUUGGCACCUCGAUGUCGGCUCAUCACAUCCUGGGGCUGUAGUAGGUCCCAAGGGUUGGGCUGUUCGCCCAUUAAAGUGGUACGCGAGCUGGGUUCAGAACGUCGUGAGACAGUUCGGUCCCUAUCCGUCGCAGGCGUAGGAAAUUUGAGAAGACCUGUCCUUAGUACGAGAGGACCGGGAUGGACGUACCUCUGGUGUACCAGUUGUUCUGCCAAGGGCAUAGCUGGGUAGCUAUGUACGGAAUGGAUAAGCGCUGAAAGCAUCUAAGCGCGAAGCCAACUUCAAGAUAAGAUUUCCCACCGUAAGGGUAAGACCCCAGGAAGACUACCUGGUUGAUAGGUCGAAGGUGUAAGUGCAGUAAUGUAUUUAGCUUAUCGAUACUAAUAGGUCGAGGACUUGACCG
rnacentral:rRNA from 1 species